GCUGGGCAUGGUGACGCAUGCCUGCAAUCCCAGCUACCUGGGAGGCUAAGGCAGGAGAAUUGCUAGAACCCAGGAGGUGGGGGCUGCAGUGAGCCAAGAUCACACCGCCACUGCACUCCAGCCUGGGUGACAGAGCAAGACUCUGUCUCAA
ensembl:misc_RNA Metazoa_SRP Metazoan signal recognition particle RNA